CUUGCUCUCUGGGUGACGAGCGGCGGACGGAUGAGUAAUGUCUGGGAAACUGCCUGAUGGAGGGGGAUAACUACUGGAAACGGUAGCUAAUACCGCAUAACGUCUUCGGACCAAAGUGGGGGACCUUCGGGCCUCACGCCAUCAGAUGUGCCCAGAUGGGAUUAGCUAGUAGGUGGGGUAAUGGCUCACCUAGGCGACGAUCCCUAGCUGGUCUGAGAGGAUGACCAGCCACACUGGAACUGAGACACGGUCCAGACUCCUACGGGAGGCAGCAGUGGGGAAUAUUGCACAAUGGGCGCAAGCCUGAUGCAGCCAUGCCGCGUGUGUGAAGAAGGCCUUCGGGUUGUAAAGCACUUUCAGCGAGGAGGAAGGGUGGUGUGUUAAUAGCGCAUUACAUUGACGUUACUCGCAGAAGAAGCACCGGCUAACUCCGUGCCAGCAGCCGCGGUAAUACGGAGGGUGCAAGCGUUAAUCGGAAUUACUGGGCGUAAAGCGCACGCAGGCGGUUUGUUAAGUCAGAUGUGAAAUCCCCGCGCUUAACGUGGGAACUGCAUUUGAAACUGGCAAGCUAGAGUCUUGUAGAGGGGGGUAGAAUUCCAGGUGUAGCGGUGAAAUGCUUAGAGAUCUGGAGGAAUACCGGUGG
rnacentral:rRNA from 1 species